CUUUCUCUCUCCUCUUUCAACUGCUCCCAAUUUCACUUCUACAAUUCAUUUUCAGUAAGAAUUACUCAAAUCACUUCAACAAAUUACUUAAAACUAAACAAAAAAACACUGUGUUAGAGGAAUUUCUGCUAAAAUGGUGAAGAAGAUGGUAAUCAUAGGUCUGAAAAACGACGUAGCUGGCGGUUCGUCGGAACAAUCGGCGAUUGAAGUGGUUGAAACUCGUUCACGACGUAAUCAAGCUACGUUGACAAGUUCUGAAAUACAAAGAUGAUUCAUCUAGAAUUGAAGUCGUGCAAAGAAUAACUUUUGCAAGGAAAACAAAAGCAGGAGAAGAAGAAGAAAAUUUUGACAACAAUGAAAACCAAGGACGUGGUAGAGAAAAGAGAGGACGCGGACGUCGAAGGAGAUGACGUGUUGGUGUAAAGGAGGGACGUGGACGUGCCGACGUGGCGAUUAAUUAGUACUUUUUAGUUCAAAAAUAUUUGAGUUUAAUGUGGCUUAUUGAAUAGAUGUAAAUAAUUAGAAUGUCGUAACUAAAAACAAUUAAUCAUGCAGUUAAUGUUUUCUUAAUUAUUGUUCAAGAGUUAUAAUUACUCUUACUUUUGAUAUAGUUACUCUUUUUAUUUCAGUAAUUAUAUGAAAUAAUAGUAACUAUAAUAGAAAAAGUUACUAUAUGACCUCUAA